GAUGAACGCUGGCGGCGUGCCUAAUACAUGCAAGUCGAGCGAACGGACGAGAAGCUUGCUUCUCUGAUGUUAGCGGCGGACGGGUGAGUAACACGUGGAUAACCUACCUAUAAGACUGGGAUAACUUCGGGAAACCGGAGCUAAUACCGGAUAAUAUUUUGAACCGCAUGGUUCAAAAGUGAAAGACGGUCUUGCUGUCACUUAUAGAUGGAUCCGCGCUGCAUUAGCUAGUUGGUAAGGUAACGGCUUACCAAGGCAACGAUGCAUAGCCGACCUGAGAGGGUGAUCGGCCACACUGGAACUGAGACACGGUCCAGACUCCUACGGGAGGCAGCAGUAGGGAAUCUUCCGCAAUGGGCGAAAGCCUGACGGAGCAACGCCGCGUGAGUGAUGAAGGUCUUCGGAUCGUAAAACUCUGUUAUUAGGGAAGAACAUAUGUGUAAGUAACUGUGCACAUCUUGACGGUACCUAAUCAGAAGGCCACGGCUAACUACGAG
rnacentral:rRNA from 1 species